GUGUUAAUAGCAAUGGACGGUAGCAAGCAGUCGGUGUUUGCGUUUAACCAAUACGUGAAGACGUUGCACCAGGCGGACAAAUAUGUGAUAGCGGCUCUGUGUGCCGAAUACACGGGGGUGGAUUCUGGAGUUCUGUCGAUUACCCAGGCCGGGUUUGACGUCAUUGAGGGUUUGUUACAAGAAGAUGAAAAACGGAUACUGUCAACUCUGAAUGAUAUAGAGUCCCUCCUGAUAGAGAAUCAGUUAGAAGGUGAAGUUAUCCGACUAGAGGGCAUCCCAGGGAUCGCCAUUAUAUCAAAAGCCAGAGAAGUAAACGCGUCCAUGAUCGUUAUUGGAUCACGUGGUUUUGGGAGGAUAAGGCGGACACUGAUGGGGAGUGUCAGUAACUUUGUAGUCCAUCACUCCCCCGUACCAGUAGCACUGUGUAAAUACGAAAAAAGGGCGACAGAAGUUCCGUGAAUGUGUCUCGAUCAUUUAAUUUUCUUGUGUUAACAAAUACUGAAUUUAUUUAUUGAUUGAAUAAAUAUGAUCUGUGUG
rnacentral:misc_RNA from 1 species